rnacentral:rRNA from 1 species
AUUGAACGCUGGCGGCAGGCUUAACACAUGCAAGUCGAGCGGAGCGAGGGUGCUUGCACCUUAGCUUAGCGGCGGACGGGUGAGUAAUGCUUAGGAAUCUGCCUAUUAGUGGGGGACAACAUUCCGAAAGGGAUGCUAAUACCACAUACGCCCUACGGGGGAAAGCAGGGGAUCUUCGGACCUUGCGCUAAUAGAUGAGCCUAAGUCGGAUUAGCUAGUUGGUGGGGUAAAGGCCUACCAAGGCGACGAUCUGUAGCGGGUCUGAGAGGAUGAUCCGCCACGCUGGGACUGAGACACGGCCCAGACUCCUACGGGAGGCAGCAGUGGGGAAUAUUGGACAAUGGGCGGAAGCCUGAUCCAGCCAUGCCGCGUGUGUGAAGAAGGCCUUUUGGUUGUAAAGCACUUUAAGCGAGGAGGAGGCUCUUAAGGUUAAUACCCUUGAUGAGUGGACGUUACUCGCAGAAUAAGCACCGGCUAACUCUGUGCCAGCCGCCGCCGUAAAAC